rnacentral:rRNA from 1 species
AUUGAACGCUGGCGGUAUGCUUAACACAUGCAAAGUCGAACGGUAACGGCAGAGAGCUUGCUCUUUGGACGACGAGUGGCGGACGGGUGAGUAAUAUAUAGGAACCUUCCUCGUAGUUUAGGAUAACUGUCCGAAAGGAUGGCUAAUACUGAAUGUGAACUACGGUUUAAAGCAGGGGAUCUUCGGACCUUGUGCUAUGAGAUGGGCCUAUACAAGAUUAGCUAGUUGGUGAGGUAAAUGCUCACCAAGGCGACGAUCUUUAGCUGGUUUGAGAGGAUGAUCAGCCACACUGGGACUGAGACACGGCCCAGACUCCUACGGGAGGCAGCAGUGGGGGAUAUUGCACAAUGGAGGAAACUCUGAUGCAGCGACGCCGCGUGAACGAUGACGGUCUUCGGAUUGUAAAGUUCUGUCAACGGGGACGGANAAAUGACGGUACCCGUGGAGGAAGCCACGGCUAACUACGUGCCAGCAGCCGCAGUAAC